rnacentral:rRNA from 1 species
UAGUCCACGCCCUAAACGAUGUUAACUCGAUAUUGGCGAUACACAGUCAGUGUCUAAGCGAAAGCGUUAAGUUAACCACCUGGGGAGUACGUUCGCAAGAAUGAAACUCAAAGGAAUUGACGGGGUCCGCACAAGCGGUGGAGCAUGUGGUUUAAUUCGAUGAUACGCGAGGAACCUUACCUGGGCUCGAACGCUAUGGGACCGUCCCUGAAAGGGGACUUUUCUUCGGAACCGAUAGUGAGGUGCUGCAUGGUUGUCGUCAGCUCGUGCCGUGAGGUGUUGGGUUAAGUCCCGCAACGAGCGUAACCCUCAUCUUAGUUGCCAGCAUGUAAUGAUGGGGACUCUAAAGAAACUGCCUACGCAAGUAGUGAGAAGGGGGGACGACGUCAAAUCAUCAUGGCCUUUAUGCCCAGGGGCUACACACGUGCUACAAUGGCCGGUACAGAGGGGCAGCAAUACCGCGAGGUGGAGCGGAAUCUCAAAAAGCCGGGUCUCAGUUCGGGAUAGGGA